AUUGAACGCUGGCGGCAUGCUUUACACAUGCAAGUCGAACGGUAACAGGGUGCUUGCACCGCUGACGAGUGGCGAACGGGUGAGUAAUGCGUCGGAACGUGCCGAGUAGUGGGGGAUAACGCAGCGAAAGUUGUGCUAAUACCGCAUACGUACUGAGGUAGAAAGUGGGGGACCUUCGGGCCUCACGCUAUUCGAGCGGCCGACGUCUGAUUAGCUAGUAGGUGAGGUAAAGGCUCACCUAGGCGACGAUCAGUAGCGGGUAUUAGAGGAUGAUCCGCCACACUGGGAGUGAAACAGGGCCCAGACUCCUACGGGAGGAAGCAGUGGGGAAUUUUGGGCAAUGGGCGAAAGCCUGAUCCAGCGAGUCCGCGUGUCUGAAGAAGGCCUUCGGGUUGUAAAGGACUUUUGUCAGGGAGGAAAUCCCUAGUGCUAAUAACACUGGGGGAUGACAGUACCUGAAGAAUAAGCACCGGCUAACUACGUGCCAGCCGCCGCCGUAA
rnacentral:rRNA from 1 species